rnacentral:rRNA from 1 species
GAUGAACGCUGGCGGCGUGCCUAAUACAUGCAAGUCGAGCGAACAGACGAGGAGCUUGCUCCUCUGACGUUAGCGGCGGACGGGUGAUUAACACGUGGAUAACCUACCUAUAAGACUGGGAUAACUUCGGGAAACCGGAGCUAAUACCGGAUAAUAUAUUGAACCGCAUGGUUCAAUAGUGAAAGCCGGUUUUGCUGUCACUUAUAGAUGGAUCCGCGCCGCAUUAGCUAGUUGGUAAGGUAACGGCUUACCAAGGCAACGAUGCGUAGCCGACCUGAGAGGAUGAUCGGCCACACUGGAACUGAGACACGGUCCAGACUCCUACGGGAGGCAGCAGUAGGGAAUCUUCCGCAAUGGGCGAAAGCCUGACGGAGCAACGCCGCGUGAGUGAUGAAGGUCUUCGGAUCGUAAAACUCUGUUAUUAGGGAAGAACAAAUGUGUAAGUAACUAUGCACGUCUUGACGGUACCUAAUCAGAAAGCCACGGCUAACUACGUG